rfam:Winogradskyella sp. PG-2 DNA, complete genome.
UGAGAUAUAGCUUAACAGGUAGAGCACCGCUCUCAUAAGGCGGAUUGUUUAGGUUCGAGCCCUAAUAUCUCAA